GACGAACGCUGGCGGCGUGCCUAAUACAUGCAAGUCGAACGAUAGCGACCGGUGCUUGCACUGGUCAAUCUAGUGGCGAACGGGUGAGUAACACGUGGGUAACCUGCCCAGCAGAGGGGGAUAACAUUCGGAAACGGAUGCUAAAACCGCAUAGGUCUUCGAACCGCAUGGUUUUAAGAGGAAAAGAGGCGCAAGUUUCUGCUGAUGGAGGGACCCGCGGUGCAUUAGCUAGUUGGUGAGGUAACGGCUCACCAAGGCCGUGAUGCAUAGCCGACCUGAGAGGGUGAUCGGCCACAUUGGGACUGAGACACGGCCCAAACUCCUACGGGAGGCAGCAGUAGGGAAUCUUCCGCAAUGGACGCAAGUCUGACGGAGCAACGCCGCGUGAGUGAAGAAGGUUUUCGGAUCGUAAAACUCUGUUGUUAGAGAAGACCAAGUGCUAGAGUAACUGUUAGCGCCUUGACGGUAUCUAACCAGAAAGCCACGGCUAACUACGUG
rnacentral:rRNA from 1 species